UAUGGCGACCGGCGCACGGGUGAGUAACACGUAUCCAACCUGCCGAUGACUCGGGGAUAGCCUUUCGAAAGAAAGAUUAAUACCCGAUGGCAUAGUUCUUCCGCAUGGUAGAACUAUUAAAGAAUUUCGGUCAUCGAUGGGGAUGCGUUCCAUUAGGUUGUUGGCGGGGUAACGGCCCACCAAGCCUUCGAUGGAUAGGGGUUCUGAGAGGAAGGUCCCCCACAUUGGACUGAGACACGGCCAA
rnacentral:rRNA from 1 species